rnacentral:rRNA from 1 species
AGAGUUUGAUCAUGGCUCAGGAUGAACGCUGGCGGCGUGCCUAACACAUGCAAGUCGAGCGGAGUUUUAUUUGAGCUUGCUUAGAUAAAACUUAGCGGCGGACGGGUGAGUAACGCGUGGGUAACCUGCCCUAUACACAGGGAUAACAUUGAGAAAUUGAUGCUAAUACCUGAUAAGCCGACAUAUAGGCAUCUAUAAGUUGGAAAAACUGAGGUGGUAUAGGAGGGGCCCGCGUCUGAUUAGCUAGUUGGUGGGGUAAAGGCCUACCAAGGCGACGAUCAGUAGCCGACCUGAGAGGGUGAUCGGCCACAUUGGAACUGAGACACGGUCCAAACUCCUACGGGAGGCAGCAGUGGGGAAUAUUGCACAAUGGGGGGAACCCUGAUGCAGCAACGCCGCGUGAAGGAAGAAGUAUUUCGGUAUGUAAACUUCUAUCGACAGGGAAGAAAGAAAUGACGGUACCUGAAUAAGAAGCACCGGCUAAAUACGUGCCAGCAGCCGCGGUAAUACGUAUGGUGCAAGCGUUAUCCGGAUUUACUGGGUGUAAAGGGUGAGUAGGCGGUUAUGCAAGUCAUAUGUGAAAUUCUGGGGCUCAACCUCAGAGCUGCAUAAGAAACUGUGUAACUAGAGUACAGGAGAGGUAAGCGGAAUUCCUAGUGUAGCGGUGAAAUGCGUAGAUAUUAGGAAGAACACCGGUGGCGAAGGCGGCUUACUGGACUGAAACUGACGCUGAGUCACGAAAGCGUGGGGAGCGAACAGGAUUAGAUACCCUGGUAGU